rnacentral:tRNA from 1 species
GGAAUAUAGCUCAGUUAGUAGAGUGCUUGCCUCACAUGCACAAGGCCCCAGCGGGGUUCAAUCCCCAGUACCA